rnacentral:lncRNA from 1 species
GGAAGAGUGGCCUGAGGUCACCCAGGCUGGCUCCCGCUGGGCGCAGAUGGAAGAGCAGGCUCAGGCUUUGUUGUGAGCUCGCUGCUGUCCUGGCUGUGAAGGGGCAGCUCCAGAGGGGGACAGAGGAUGCGUUUGGAGAAGAGCACGCGAGAGAGGCACCCGGGGCUCCCUGGACGACAGCCGGACCCUUGACCUGCCUGGGGCUCCGUUUCCUUGGCUCACCAGGCAGGAUGGAGCUGCGUGGCACCCAGGCGACUGGCUGUUCAUGGGGCAUGAUCCGCACUCUCUGGACGGUCCUGUCCUUGUCCAAGGCAGCAAUGUGACUGCACCUAUCCGCUCCUCCCACUGGGUUUCCCUGGGCUGGCGGCUCCCUGGCCUGCGGUGACGUCGGAAGAGAGGGGCGGAUGCAGCACAGCUCCUCCUGGAGACGCUGGGCUCAUCUUGCUGUGCCUGAGUUUGGAGGUGUGAGGUUGUGUGUGUGAGGUUGUGUGUGUGUUUGUGUGUGAGGUUGUGUGUGUGAGGUUGUGUGUAUGAGGUUGUGUGUGUGAGGCUGUAUGUGUGUGAGGUUAUAUGUGUGAGAUGUGUGUGUGGUUGUGUGUGAGGUUGUGUGUGUGAGAUGUGUGUGUGGGGCUGUGUGUGUGAGAUGUGUGUGUGGUUGUGUGUGAGGUUGUCUGUGUGUUUGUGUGUGAGGUUGUGUGUGUGAGGUUGUGUGUGUGAGGUGUGUGCGAGGUUGUCACACACUCCAACACACACACUCCAACACACACACUCCGACAGUGUGUGUGAGGUUGUGUGUGUAUGAGGUUGUGUAUGUGAGGUUGUGUGUGUGAGGCUGUGUGUGUGUGAAGUUGUGUGUGUGAGGCUGUAUGUGUGUGAAGUUGUGUGUGUGAGGCUGUAUGUGUGUGAAGUUGUGUGUGUGAGGCUGUGUGAGGUUGUGUGUGUGAGGCUGUGUGUGUGAGGUGUGUGUGAGGUUGCGUGUGUGAGGUUGUGUGUGUAUCUGUGUGUGAGGUUGUGUGUGGGAGGUUGUGUGGGUGAGGUGUGUGUGUGAGGCUGCAUGUGUGAGUGGCCAUUUAAUUUCUAACUGACCUAGUGGGUCUUGGGAGCCUGGGACACUCCCGUAGUGUCUGAAGCUCGUCCCCAGGAACACAGGACUC